rnacentral:lncRNA from 1 species
GAAGGCAUUCAAUAUCACUGCAUUCAAUGAAUGGGUGUUGGAAGGCAGAGCCCCAGCUUUGCCCGAGAGUCUUCAGCUGUACAAGAAAUUGUUGAAACUUGGAGUCAAGGUCGUGUUCAUAACAGGUAGAGAAGAAGAUCAGAGAAGUGUCACAAUCACCAAUCUCAGAAAUGUCGGAUAUCGCACUUGGGAGAAGCUUGUCUUAAAGUAAGGAUCUACCAACGAGUUAACUUAACACUUGACGGAUAGUGGUUCAACCCUAAUUUUUUCUAUUUCCGCGUGUAUACAUCUUGACCUACUUUAACUUAUAUCUUGCCUAUUUUUUAACUUUUCAUGGAAAAAAUCAACCUAAAUGUAUUUGUGGUCCUCCAAAUGGUUCCUAGCAAACAUACAUUUUUGUUGCUUUAUUGCAGUUUCGAGGAAUUCGAGGAUUCUCUAUCUCAUAUUCUCAUUCCUCCGUCAUAACUCUACAUAUCUAUUGACAAAUGGUUCAUAGUAAAACUACAUUUUAUUGUAUUGUUUUUAUUGCUGUCUAAAUUUAAGUAACAUUUUUGGUUGCAGGGGAUCAGCUUAUUCUGGGAAGACAUCGUACGAGUUUAAAUCAGCAGAGAGGGCGAAGCUUGAGAAGAGUGGAUUCAGAAUAAUUGGGAACAUGGGUGAUCAAUGGAGCGAUAUAUUGGGGGCAAGUGCCGGCAACCGGACCUUCAAGUUGCCUGAUCCGCUCUACUACGUUAGUUGAUCACUGGUUUUUCGCUUUUCUGCAAGCGUUGAAUAAUCGAUUGAGGUUUCAAGUGAAUAAAUAAAGGGGGAAAAUGUCAAUGUGCUGGAUAAAUGGUACUAUAAGUGAAAUGUGACCAAAUGUAAGCACUUUUUCUUUUUCCUUCGAGGAGAAACUGUAGACGCUUUUGGUUUACCUGUUGUAAGUGAGUUUGAUUAUAUUGUUAGCAAUGCAUUUAAUUGUCAUGAAGCGCACUUAAUUUUCUAGAAGUAAUCUCAAAUGGAACUUUAAAAUGAACAACUAGAAAGCAAAUCAUGCUAAAAAUAAAAAAAUUAGUCUACAUUGAAGGAUAUAAAAGAGACAAAUAAAUAAAUAAAACAAGACAAAUCACCAAUUAAUUAAACAGUUGCAGUUAACCUUUACUAUCCUUAGUACAAAAUAUACCUAUGAAGUAAAUACAAUCUUUCAAUUUUUAUACAUUACUGCCUAAAGUAUUAAAAUGUUAACAUUAUAAGUGACCAUUGCAUCUUAUCAUGGACACAAAUGAAUUAUUAAUGUGACAAAUGCAGAGCCCAUUUCUAGAAUUUAAAGCCAAUCAUUCCACAAUGCAACUCAAUUUUGGUUUGACACAAGUCGCACUCCUAAAGUAAGACCUGCUCCGAUUUAAGGAUAAAUGCAGUUUUAAGACUUGAGCUUCUUGUUGGACCUAAAUUGAGCAAGAAAACAUAUUCAAACUUCUCUUCUAUUGAGAGCUAUUCUCACUGCCUAUGUGAGUUUACAGAUUAGAAAAAUCAGUCAGCUGCCAGCCCUUGCUAAAAGCAAGGGUUGGUGGCAACCCCGGUUUCCUUUUGAUUUCCUUUCUUUGUGUGUUUAUCAGCCUACCAAAUUUUCUCCCACCCCAAACCUCAACUCCUUCGUCAUAGAUCGGAAAGCCCUCAAUUCCAACUUUCCUUCUCCUAUUCUCCGCACUAUUUGUUCAAUUACAUGUCUUCAAACAAUUCAUUUUCUUCGUUUCCAUUAUGGCUUUCUUAUCCCUUUGUUUCCUCCAUCCUACAUCCUUUCCCCUUCUUCCAUUGGAUCCAUCACCUCUUGACCCACAUGCGUUGUGUUUUGUCAAAGAUCUGUGGGAGGGUGUGUAGAGCUUUGGGCUCCAAUCCUGUGAUGGAUUGGAAUUUUUCCUUGUAAUGUUUUGGAGGUCCAUAUUUUUCUUUGUACUUCCUUUGUGAUUGGGCAUUCGUUUUGUAUAUGUGUUAGUAAGAAUGAAUGUUGCCUUUGAACAAAAAAUAAAUAAAUAAAAAUUGAGCAAGAAAACAAAUACUGUUGAAACCAUUGGCAGUCAAUAUUGGCAGUUGAAAACAUUAGCUGAUGAAACCAUCGGCUAUCUGAUGAAUGCCCACAUAAGUUCUUUGUCAAUACCUACACAAAUAUGAUGAAGACUUUGGAAACAAAAUGUUGUAAAUUUCGAACUUUAAGAAUUUGUCGUAUGGAUUCGCUCUAUAAAUAGAGCACUCCUACUGCCAUCGAUGUAUAUACAGAGAGAACAUACAGAACGAAAGAAAUCUCUUCCUCCAUCUUUUAUUUGUCAUUCACUUGAGCUAUAGUUUUAGUGUGAUAUUUUACAUCUGCUUCGCACCUAUCUAAAAUGUUAUCCCUCUAACUUUUACAUAUUUAUAACACGUUAUCAGUACGAGUCUCUAAAUAUAACUAUUUCUCAUUCCUCUUUGCCGAAUGAAAAUCAUUUCACUUCGCCGAAAGAAAAAUGUUUCCUUUAAGGUUUUUACUGUUCAUCUUCUUCCUCUACCUCAACUGUGCGGUAUACCCUCGCGACGAACUGUUUGCUCCAUGUCUGCUUCUAGUUCUCCAACUAGCGGUUACAUACAUCUUUGAUUUCUUGUUUGGUAUAGAUAUUGAUUACUAACCAUAUUUAUUUUUUACUGCAAUGAAGAUGGUGCGGUACAAUCGCCCAUUUUGAACUGCAAAUUUCAUCUUACCGCGAUCCAAGAUGGUGCAGUAUCAUCUCCUAUCUUGAAUUACAGAUUUAAUUUUACUGCAAAUUUUAGGUGGAACGAUAAAAUUGCCCGCCCUACCCUGCAUAUUUAAUUUGCCUGCAGUUUAAUUUCAUUGCAAUUUUUAGGUGGUGCGGUAUAAUCGACCACACUGCUAUGCAUAUUUAAAUUUUUCCUGCUACUUGAGUGGUGUGGAAUAAUCGCCCAUUCAAUGUUACAUUAUUUCAAUGAGAAUGGUGCAGUACAAUCGCCUUCCUCAUUCACCCUGAAAAUCUAGAGCCAAAAGUUUCGAGUGCUUAUCAUUUUAGCCUGAAGAUCAAAAUGAAAAAAAAAUGUAAGAACCAGAAGUUCUAACACUAUAUUCCUCCAGGAAUACAUAUUGUUGCAAGUUCUUAUACAUCUCAUUUUUCUUUUAGAAAAGAAAAUGGCGAACUUGGCAAAGCUUGAAUAUGUUGCCCUGGACAUUAUUGGGAAUAAUUACCUUACAUGGGUACUGGAUACCAAGAUCCAUCUGGAAGCAGGGAAUCUUGGAGAUACCAUCAGAGAAGUGAGCAGCUCAUCCUCUCAAGAGCGGGCGAAGGCUACAAUUUUUAUUCGUCGCCAUCUUGAUGAGGCACUAAAGAGUGAGUACUUAACGGUUGAAGAUCCGUUAGCUCUCUGGCAGGCUUUGAGAAGCAGAUACAAUCACCAGACAACGGUGAUUCUUCCAAGAGCUCGCUAUGAAUGGACUCACCUAAGGAUCCAGGAUUUCAAGUUAGUGGCUGAGUACAAUUCUACGCUGUUCAGAAUUACCUCUCAGAUGAAGCUCUGUGGGGAUACUAUUACUGAGGAAAUGUUGCUGGAAAAGACCUUUAACACAUUUCAUGCCUCUAACGUGCUUCUGCAGUAGCAGUAUAGAGCGCGAGGCUACACUGAAUACAACGAGCUGAUAUCUGUGCUCCUGGUAGUUGAACAAAACAAUGAGCUCCUGAUGAAAAACCAUAAUUCCCGACCUACGGGAUUUGUUGUGUAAAACUAGCAUUUCAUAUUCAAUAAAAGUGGCAUGUAAAUUUCUUGUUAUAACUUGCUUUUAACUCUGAUUCCCUUACUCAGAGAGCAUGGAUAAAAAUUAUGGUCAUUCUCAGAACAUGAGAAAUGGCAGAGAUAUCUGUCUUGCAAACUGCACAACAACGUAUACAAUACUUCGAGAUUGAAAGUAUUUCUCAAGCUUGAUGUUUACAAAAGUAAAGGUAACAACAAUAUCAGGCCAAUCAGAUGUGAGUGAAGGCUCAGGGGAAACCCAUAUUAUGUUACCAAAUGGAACAAUAUUAUGCAUACAGAAUGCGUUGUACGCUACUCGAUCUACUCGAAACUUGUUGAGUUUUAAAGACAUACGCUUAAAUGGAUACCACAUUAAAACGAAAAGUGCAGAAAAUGUGAAGUAUCUAUGCAUUACCUCCAAUGAUACCCAGAAACGUAUAUUGGAGAAGUUGCGUAGUUUGUCGAGUGGAUUGUAUUAUACAUACAUAAAGACAGUUGAAUCACAUACUGUCAUGAACCAGAAGUUCAUUGAUUUCAAAGUUUACAUACUUUGGCAUGACCGUCUGGGUCAUCCAAGAUCCACCAUAAUGCGUAGGAUCAUUACCAACUCUAAUGGACAUCCAUUAUUGAGCAGAGACAUUGCUAUCUCAAAUGAUAACCCUUGCAAGGCUUGUUCUCAAGGGAAAGUUGUAAUUAGACCAUCACAACUAAAGAUUGAUGCUGAAUCCCCAUCAUUUCUGCAAAGAAUUCAAGGGGAUAUUUGUGGACCUAUUCAAUCAUCUUAUGGACCAUUUCGAUAUUUUAUGGUUUUGGUUGAUGCAUAUACCAGAUGGUCACAUGUUUGUCUCUUAUCUACUCGGAAUGUAGCUUUUGUGAGACUUAUUGCUCAGAUAACUAAGUUACGAGCAUAGUUCCCAAAUUAUCCCAUUAAGUCAAUCUGACUUGAUAACGCUGAUGAAUUUACGUCUCAAACUUUGGAUGAUUACUACAUAACAUUGGGCAUUGAUGUUGAACACCUGUUCCUCAUGUCCAUACUUAAAAUGGUUUGGCAGAAGCAUUGAUCAAGCGACUUUAGUUAAUAGCUCGCACUCUGCUUAUGAAAACCAAAUUGCCAAUUUCUGCAUGGGGACAUGUCAUCCUAUAUGCUGCAUCAUUGGUUUGAUUGAGACCUAUAGCCAACCAUCAAUACUCGUCAAUACAACUCGUGUUUGGACAUUAGCUAAACAUUUCAUAUUUACGAGUUUUUGGUUGUGCUGUUUAUGUGCCUAUUGCACCCCCACAACACACUAAAAUGGGACCUCAGCGUAGACUGGGAAUUUAUGUGGGUUUUGAUUCACCAUCUAUCAUUAGAUAUUUGGAACCCUUGACAGGUGAUAUGUUUACAGCUCGUUUUACUCAUUGUCACUUUGAUGAGACAAUCUUCCCGUCAUUAGGGGGAGAAAAGACCAUUCCAGAAGAAUGGAAAGAGCUAACAUAGGUUGUUCCCACCUUGUCUCAUUUUGAUCAUCGAAGCAUUCAAUGUGAAAAUGAAGUAAAAAGGAUCGUUCAUCUUCAAAGCAUUGCCAAUCAAAUGCCAGAUGCAUUUAAUAAUGAUAUGAAAGUGACAAAAUCACAUAUACCAGCUGCAAAUGCACUUGCCAGAAUUGAUGUCUCUGUUGGACAAAAUAAAGUGGCAGCGAAUGAUUUAUCUGGUGCACACCUAAAGCGUGGUAGACCACCAUGUUCAAAAGAUUCAGCCCCUCAAAAGAGAAAGAUGAGGGCACAGCUGAAUCCAAAUGAAAUCAUUUAGGAAGAGAGAAUGAAUGACAAAUCCACAAUUCAUGAUUCUGGACUUCUAGAAGAAUAAAAUGUCCUUAAUGAGACACAUGUCCCUGAAGAGAUAGCAGUACAUAAGAGCAAAGAAAUCUCCGUAAAUUAUGCAUGUAAUAAUGAAUUGUGGGAUCAAAAUGAAAUAAUCAUUGACGAUAUGUUUGCAUUCGCAGUAGCCACUGAAAUCAUAUUAAGUGAUGAUCUUGAGCCCCGCUCUGUUGAUGAAUGUAAACAGAGACAAGAUUGGCCUAAAUGGAAAGAUGCAAUCCAGGCAUAAUUAAAUUCCUUGGAAAGGCGAAGUGUUUUUGGACCAGUAGUCCAAACCCCGCUUGGUGUAAAUCCUGUGGGUUACAAAUGGGUAUUCACAAGGAAACGAAAUGAGAAAAACGAGAUUGCAAGAUAUAAAGCAGGACUCGUUGCACAAGGUUUUUCACAAAGACCUAGAAUUGAUUAUAAGGAGACAUACUCUCCUAUAAUGGACGCAAUUACGUUCCGUUACUUAAUAAGUUUAUUGGUUUCAAAAAAGCUUAACAUGCGACUUAUGGAUGUCAUCAUUGCGUAUCUAUAUGGAGAAUUAGAUACUGACAUAUAUAUGAAAGUCCCAGAAGGACUCAAGUCGCCUGAAACAGCUAACAAAUCACAAGGUAUGCUCUCGAUCAAAUUAAGGCGAUCAUUGUAUGGGCUAAAACAAUCUGGACGAAUGUGGUAUAAUCGUCUCAGUGAGUAUUUGAUCAAAGAAGGGUAUAUCAACAUUGUCAUUUACCUUUGUGUGUUCAUUAAGAAAUCCAACUCUGGAUUUGCUAUAGUGGCAGUAUAUGUCGAUGAUAUGAACCUAGUUGGAAUUCCUGAAAAGUUACAUAAAACUGCUGAAUAUCUGAAAAGCGAAUUUGAAAUGAAAGAUCUUGGAAAAACGAAAUUUUGUCUCGACCUGCAGAUCGAGCAUUGUGCUAGUGGAAUUUUGGUCCACCAAUAAGCUUACAUUGAAAAAAUCCUGAAGCGAUUUGGUAUGGACAAGGCUUAUCCACUCAGCACGCCAAUGGUUGUUCGUUAUCUAGACAUUAAGAAAGAUCUAUUCCGUCCAAAAGAAGAUGAUGAAAUGGUCAUUGGUCCAGAAGUACCAUAUAUGAGUGCAGUAUGUGCUUUGUUGUAUUUAGCACAAUGUACUAGACCAGAUAUGGCUUUUUCAGUCAACCUGUUAGCUAGGUAUAGCUCUGCUCCAACAAUCCGUCAUUAGAAGGGUGUCAAAGAUGUAUUACGAUACCUUCGUGGGACAACAGAUAUGGGUCUCUUUUACUAAAAAACUCCACAAAUGACUAUGUUCUUGUCGGAUAUGCAGAUGCUGGUUUCCUUUCUGAUCCGCAUAAAGCCCGCUCACAAACUGGAUAUGUGUUCAAGAAUGGAGAUACAACAAUCUCAUGGCACUCAACAAAGCAAACAUUAGUUGCUACAUCUUCAAAUCAUUUAGAAAUACUUGCUUUACAUGAAGCAAGUCGUGAAUGUUCUUGGUUAAGAUCAAUGAUCCAUCAUAUUUGGAAUUUAUGUGGUCUACCUUCAAAGACAGACACUCCAACUGUCAUUCAUGAAGAUAAUGCAGCCUGUGUUACCCAAAUGAAGAAAGGAUUCAUCAAGGGCGAUAAAACUAAACACAUAUCUCCAAAGUUUUUCAAUGCACAUGAGCUUUAGAGGGCUAAAGUUAUUGAAGUCAGACAAAUCCAUUCUAAUGAAAAUCUUGCAGAUUUGUUCACCAAAUCUCUACCAAAAUGCACGCUUCAGAAGUUAGUGCAAAGUAUCGAAUUACGUCGACUUACCAAACAGUUAAAUUUGGAGAAUGCGGAAUCAGUGGGAGAUACAUAUUAUGGGGAGCAUCCAUGAUACAUGCUUGUUGUACUCUUUUUCCUUCGA